rnacentral:rRNA from 1 species
GGAGAUAGUUGGUUCUCUCCGAAAUAGCUUUAGGGCUAGCCUCAAGGUAAGAGUCUUGGAGGUAGAGCACUGAUUGGACUAGGGGCCCCUACCGGGUUACCGAAUUCAGUCAAACUCCGAAUGCCAAAGACUUAUCCUUGGGAGUCAGACUGCGAGUGAUAAGAUCCGUAGUCGAAAGGGAAACAGCCCAGACCGCCAGCUAAGGUCCCAAAGUAUACGUUAAGUGGAAAAGGAUGCG